rnacentral:miRNA from 2 species
AGUUACAGACAAGAGCCUUGCUC